GAUGAACGCUGGCGGCGUGCUUAAUACAUGCAAGUCGAGCGAAGCGGGGACGGGUGAGUAACACGUGGAUAACCUCCUAUAAGACUGGGAUAACUUCGGGAAACCGGAGCUAAAACGGAUACGUAUAGAUGGAUCCGCGCUGCAUUAGCUAGUUGGUAAGGUAACGGGGUACCAAGGCAACGAUGCAUAGCCGACCUGAGAGGGUGAUCGGCCACACUGGAACUGAGAAACGGUCCAGACUCCGACGGGAGGCAGCAGUAGGAAAUCUUCCGGAAUGGGCGAAAGCCGGGCGUGGCAACACCGCGUGAGUGAUGAAGGUCUUCGGAUCGUAAAACUCUGUUAUUAGGGAAACGGUACCUAAUCAGAAAGCCACGGCUAACUACGUGCCAGCAGCCGCGGUAAUUC
rnacentral:rRNA from 1 species